rnacentral:rRNA from 1 species
GAUGAACGCUGGCGGCGUGCCUAAUACAUGCAAGUCGAGCGGACAGGCGAGGAGCUUGCUUUGCUGAUGUUAGCGGAGCACGGGUGAGUAACACGUGGAUAACCUACCUAUCAGACGGGGAUAACUUCGGGAAACCGGAGCUUAUACCAGAGAAUAUUUUGAACCGCAUGGUUCAAAGGUGAAAGACGGUGUUGCUGUCACUUCUAGCUGGAUCCGCGCUGCAUGAGAUGGUAGGGAGGGUAACGGCCUACCAAGGCAACGAGGCGUAGCCGACGUGAGAGGGGGAUAGGCCACAUGGGAGCGGGGCCAGCGUCCAUACGCCUAAGGGAGGGAGCAGAAGGGAAUCGUACGCAACGGGCGAAAGUAUGACGGAGCGACGGGGCGUGAGUGAUGGAGGUCUCCGGAGCGGAAAACCCUGCUACGAGGGAAGAACAUCUGUGGAAGGAACCGUGCACAGCGUGACGGUACUGAAUCAGAAAGCACCGGCUAACUACGUG